GACGAACGCUGGCGGCGUGCCUAACACAUGCAAGUCGAGCGAAUGAAGUUCCUUCGGGAAUGGAUUUAGCGGCGGACGGGUGAGUAACACGUGGGCAACCUGCCUCAUAGAGGGGAAUAGCCUUCCGAAAGGGAGAUUAAUACCGCAUAAGAUUGUAGUACCGCAUGAUACAGCAAUUAAAGGAGCAAUCCGCUAUGAGAUGGACCCGCGGCGCAUUAGCUAGUUGGUGAGGUAACGGCUCACCAAGGCGACGAUGCGUAGCCGACCUGAGAGGGUGAUCGGCCACAUUGGGACUGAGACACGGCCCAGACUCCUACGGGAGGCAGCAGUGGGGAAUAUUGCACAAUGGGGGAAACCCUGGUGCAGCAACGCCGCGUUAGUGAUGACGGCCUUCGGGUUGUAAAGCUCUGUCUUCAGGGACGAUAAUGACGGUACCUGAGGAGGAAGCCACGGCUAACUACGUGCCAGCCGCCGCGGUAACAC
rnacentral:rRNA from 1 species